UACAGAGGGUGCAAGCGUUGUUCGGAAUUAUUGGGCGUAAAGAGCUCGUAGGCGGUCUGUUGCGUCCGCUGUGAAAACUCGGGGCUUAACCCCGAGCCUGCAGUGGAUACGGGCAGACUAGAGGUAGGUAGGGGAGAAUGGAAUUCCCGGUGUAGCGGUGAAAUGCGCAGAUAUCAGGAGGAACACCGGUGGCGAAGGCGGGUCUCUGGGCCAAAACUGACGCUGAGGAGCGAAAGCGUGGGGAGCGAACAGG
rnacentral:rRNA from 1 species